rnacentral:rRNA from 1 species
AUUGAACGCUGGCGGCAGGCCUAACACAUGCAAGUCGAACGAGUGGCGGACGGGUGAGUAAUGUCUGGGAAACUGCCCGAUGGAGGGGGAUAACUACUGGAAACGGUAGCUAAUACCGCAUACCAUCGGAUGUGCCCAGAUGGGAUUAGCUAGUAGGUGGGGUAACGGCUCACCUAGGCGACGAUCCCUAGCUGGUCUGAGAGGAUGACCAGCCACACUGGAACGGAGACACGGUCCAGACUCCUACGGGAGGCAGCAGUGGGGAAUAUUGCACAAUGGGGGAAACCCUGAUGCAGCAACGCCGCGUGCGGGAUGAAGGCCUUCGGGUUGUAAAGUACUUUCAGCGAGGAGGCGUUACUCGCAGAAGAAGCACCGGCUAACUCCGUGCCAGCCGCCGCGGUAAUUC